UCUUGGAUCCAUUGCAAAUUGCCUUAAAUGUACUUAAAAGUUUAGUUUGAAAACUUUGGUGGUUGGUGAACAGGUCAUAUCCAUUUUAGAGGAAUGAUGCAAAUGUUUUUGAUCUCACAGCAUGUGUUUGUUAAAUGAAAAUUUACUUUCCGUUUUUGACCAGGAUUCAAUCUGUCAUGAAUAAAUUUGCUUAAUUGUAACUUAGCUCCAUAUAUGGUUUCUUAAAGUUCAGUGAGGCAUGAGAAAUGUGUUUUAUCAGCCAUAACAAAUUUGUCAUUCUCUUUAAAGGGAAGGAGCUGUGACGGAUGCAAGCCAACCUUUGACUAUACACUUGAGAAAGGUCAUUGACACCACUGAAUCAAAGGUUUGUUAAUGCAAAAGGUUUUUUUGGUGACAAUAAAAUGCAUAGACUUUAAAGGAUUCAAGCUGUAUCUAUGAACAAGAAUAUUAUAGAGACUUGUGGAUGGGCUCUUUUGACUUUUGCCAGUAAAUAAAGCCCAGAAAACCCUAGAAACCACAUUGCAAUCUGCUAAGCAAUAGUCAGAACACCUUAGUAACCACAUAGGAACAAACUGGCAACCAAAACUCUCGUUGAAAAUUCAUCUUUGCCAUCAUAGGAAUAAAUUACAUUUUUAAAUAUAUUCAAAUAUAAAACAGUUACUUUAAAUUGUAAUAAUAUUUCACAGUUUUACUGUAUUUUUGAUUAAAUAAAUGCAGCCUUGGUGCACAUAAGAGACUUCUUUCAAAAACAUAAAAAAACCUCACUGAAUCCAAACUGUUAAAUGAUAGUGUAUAUAAUUAUCUCAGCUUGCAGUGUCCACAUAGUUAACAUUUUAAGAAGCUGACAGCCUUUUUUUCUAGGACUAUAUAAAUUUACAUGUUCUUUGAUUUCACCAGUCUGUUGUUUUAUUUUUACCAGGGACAAAAUGGGAAGGCCUUAGACUGCAGCAAAGUGGACAGUACCAUCAUAAAUAAAAGCUCGGAGAGCAAUAUUGCUGCAAGUUCAGAAAGCACAUCCUUGUAUGACCUUGUCUACAUCCUUUUGGCCGCUUGGCUAUUUGUGUACUGCCUUCUUGUCCUGCCUCAGAUUGACUCAAGAACGCUUCCUAAACUCCUCUUCAAUAUAGAUGAAUGACUGCAAUAUUAACAUACAAGACAAUUAUUGCUCACAUACAACUCUGAUCACGUCCUUCUAGUUAAGGAAUAAUUCACCUGAAAAUUAAAGUACAGACAUUCUGAUAAAGAUUUCCUUUUAUGUUCAGUGGAACAAACACGAGGGUGAGUAAAUGAUGACAGAAUGUAUUUAUUUGUUUGAGUAUUUCUGAGUGAACUAUCCCUUUAACAUGAACCAGGACCUCUGACCCAGAUCUUUAAGGAAUAAAUAAAAAAGUUUGGAAAAUCGGCA
ensembl:lncRNA